AAAGAUGUGGCUCAAGUGGUAGAGCAUCUGCCUGGGAAAGUGCAAGAUCCUGAGUUCAAAUCCCAGUAUCUCCA
rnacentral:tRNA from 1 species